rnacentral:lncRNA from 1 species
GGGCUCAACCCCCGCUGUGCUCUGCGGUCGCAGCUGCAGCCGCUUCGGUGCUCCAAGACCAGAGAGGAAGCAAAGACAGAGCUUUCCCAGCCAGGCAUCGCUGCUUUGGCCUUGAAGGUGACAAAGAAGACAAGGAAGACAAGGAAGGUGAUCCGGGAGGCUGGAGAGCUUGUCAAGGUCACAGACCCACGGUUUUCCGCCCCCUAGGGUCCAAGCUCUUUCCUGGACAUCUGCAGGCAAUGUCGACACGCCCUCCAGUGUCUGUGGCGGGCAAAGGAUGUGUCUCCACCCCCAGACCUUCCGAUCCUGUGCUGAAAGUGUCCCUCAGCCUGUUUCCUGAGAAGCCCAGGGGCUUUUGGCUUGUUACUUUUUCUUUCUCUUGAAGUAAACAGAAUAAAAGAGAGUUGCUCAGA